rnacentral:lncRNA from 1 species
CCCCCCUCAGCUGGUGUGUGCGGGUCCUGGGGGGGAAUCUGGCUCGGGAGGGAGGAAGACUGAGCAAAGCCAGAAAAGAAGGCCUUUGGGGAAGGUGGCGACUGGGCCCAGAGCUCCCCACCAAAGGAAGAAAAGCAGGAAGGAUCUAAGUCAGACACUAGGAAGACUACCCCGGCAGGGCCAGUUGUCCAACAGUGAACUGUUGGAAGAAGAGGGUGGAAAGGUUCGUGGAGGUUGGUAUUGGGAUCUGUGGUCAUCGGGGUGAGCGCUGACCCCUCAUGAAGUCAUUCAUUCCUUCCUUCUUUGCUUUACGGGGCGCCUGUGCUGGGCCCUGAGCCCAGAGAUCAAGAAGACGACGUCUCUGUUCUCGAGGAGACGCAAGACAAGAUGUGUCCUCAGCUAAUGGCAGACACAGCCAAAGUCACCCCAGAGGGACCAACAGGAGUUAGAACCGAGAGAGGCGACUUGGGACCAGGCGGUCACAGAAGGCCCCAUGUAGGAGAUGGGAUUUGAGCUGGGCCUCAGGAUACUCAGGGAAGGUGACAGUGGGGACAGGAGGCCCAGGCAGCAAUGCAGCACCUGGCAGAGGCAUAGGUCCGGGCCAAAGUGGG